rfam:Streptococcus sp. HSISB1 chromosome, whole genome shotgun sequence.
GAAUGUCUUCAGGGCAGGGUGUAAUUCCCGACCGGCGGUGUUGCCUCUCGUCCUCUUACAAAAAAGCUUAGUUUGGUAAGAGAACGAGAGCAAUUUAAAAGUCCGCGAGCUGCUUUGCAGUUGAUCUGGUGAGAUUCCAGAACCGACAGUAUAGUCUGGAUGGGAGAAGACCAAG